CAAUUUAAAGCUUAUUAAGUAAAGUUUUUCAUUUACAUUGAAAUUAUAUCUGUGCAAAUCAGAUUAAAUUGA
rnacentral:tRNA from 1 species